rnacentral:tRNA from 1 species
CGGGGCGUAGCGCAGCCUGGUAGCGUACUUGCAUGGGGUGCAAGGGGUCGAGAGUUCGAAUCUCUCCGCUCCGACCA